rnacentral:hammerhead_ribozyme from 1 species
AUCCAGUUGACGAGUCCCAGGUAAAACGAAACGCACGUUCUGGAU